rnacentral:rRNA from 2 species
AGAGUUUGAUCCUGGCUCAGGACGAACGCUGGCGGCGCGCCUAACACAUGCAAGUCGAACGGAGCUUAGAGAGCUUGCUUUUUAAGCUUAGUGGCGAACGGGUGAGUAACGCGUGAGUAACCUGCCCUAGAGUGGGGGACAACAGUUGGAAACGACUGCUAAUACCGCAUAAGCCCACGGUACCGCAUGGUACUGAGGGAAAAGGAUUUAUUCGCUUUAGGAUGGACUCGCGUCCAAUUAGCUAGUUGGUGAGGUAACGGCCCACCAAGGCGACGAUUGGUAGCCGGACUGAGAGGUUGAACGGCCACAUUGGGACUGAGACACGGCCCAGACUCCUACGGGAGGCAGCAGUGGGGGAUAUUGCACAAUGGGGGAAACCCUGAUGCAGCGACGCCGCGUGGAGGAAGAAGGUCUUCGGAUUGUAAACUCCUGUUGUUGAGGAAGAUAAUGACGGUACUCAACAAGGAAGUGACGGCUAACUACGUGCCAGCAGCCGCGGUAAAACGUAGGUCACAAGCGUUGUCCGGAAUUACUGGGUGUAAAGGGAGCGCAGGCGGGAAGACAAGUUGGAAGUGAAAUCCAUGGGCUCAACCCAUGAACUGCUUUCAAAACUGUUUUUCUUGAGUAGUGCAGAGGUAGGCGGAAUUCCCGGUGUAGCGGUGGAAUGCGUAGAUAUCGGGAGGAACACCAGUGGCGAAGGCGGCCUACUGGGCACCAACUGACGCUGAGGCUCGAAAGUGUGGGUAGCAAACAGGAUUAGAUACCCUGGUAGUCCACACCGUAAACGAUGAUUACUAGGUGUUGGAGGAUUGACCCCUUCAGUGCCGCAGUUAACACAAUAAGUAAUCCACCUGGGGAGUACGACCGCAAGGUUG